rnacentral:rRNA from 1 species
GAUGAACGCUAGCUCGAGGCUUAACACAUGCAAGUCGAGGGACCGGCGCACGGGUGAGUAACGCGUAUCCAACCUGCCCAUAACUAAGGGAUAACCCAGCGAAAGUUGGACUAAUACCUUAUGGUUAUGGAUGGGGAUGCGUCUGAUUAGCUUGUUGGCGGGGUAACGCCCCACCAAGGCAACGAUCAGUAGGGGUUCUGAGAGGAAGGCCCCUCGCAUUGGGACUGGGUCACGAUCCAUACUGCAGGGGGAGGCAGCAGUGAUGGAUAUUGGUCAGUGGACGCGAGUCUGACCCGGCCAGGUGGCGUACAGGAUGACUGGCUGUGAGUUAUAAACUGCUUGUAUGAGGGGAUGGUUACCAUAUGAAUAGGAACCGGCUAAUUCCGUGCCAGCGGCCGCGUAAUUC